GGGCUACCUGCCUAUAAGACUGGGAUAACUUCGGGAAACCGGAGCUAAUACCGGAUACGUUCUUUUCUCGCAUGAGAGAAGAUGGAAAGACGGUUUACGCUGUCACUUAUAGAUGGGCCCGCGGCGCAUUAGCUAGUUGGUGAGGUAAUGGCUCACCAAGGCGACGAUGCGUAGCCGACCUGAGAGGGUGAUCGGCCACACUGGGACUGAGACACGGCCCAGACUCCUACGGGAGGCAGCAGUAGGGAAUCUUCCGCAAUGGACGAAAGUCUGACGGAGCAACGCCGCGUGAACGAAGAAGGCCUUCGGGUCGUAAAGUUCUGUUGUUAGGGAAGAACAAGUACCAGAGUAACUGCUGGUACCUUGACGGUACCUAACCAGAAAGCCACGGCUAACUACGUGCCAGCAGCCGCGGUAAUACGUAGGUGGCAAGCGUUGUCCGGAAUUAUUGGGCGUAAAGCGCGCGCAGGUGGUUCCUUAAGUCUGAUGUGAAAGCCCACGGCUCAACCGUGGAGGGUCAUUGGAAACUGGGGAACUUGAGUGCAGAAGAGGAAAGUGGAAUUCCAAGUGUAGCGGUGAAAUGCGUAGAGAUUUGGAGGAACACCAGUGGCGAAGGCGACUUUCUGGUCUGUAACUGACACUGAGGCGCGAAAGCGUGGGGGAGCAAACAGGAUUAGAUACCCUGGUAGUCCACGCCGUAAACGAUGAGUGCUAAGUGUUAGAGGGUUUCCGCCCUUUAGUGCUGCAGCUAACGCAUUAAGCACUCCGCCUGGGGAGUACGGCCGCAAGGCUGAAACUCAAAGGAAUUGACGGGGGCCCGCACAAGCGGUGGAGCAUGGUGGUUUAAUUCGAAGCAACGCGAAGAACCUUACCAGGUCUUGACAUCCUCUGACAACCCUAGAGAUAGGGCUUUCCCCUUCGGGGGACAGAGUGACAGGUGGUGCAUGGUUGUCGUCAGCUCGUGUCGUGAGAUGUUGGGUUAAGUCCCGCAACGAGCGCAACCCUUGAUCUUAGUUGCCAGCAUUCAGUUGGGCACUCUAAGGUGACUGCCGGUGACAAACCGGAGGAAGGUGGGGAUGACGUCAAAUCAUCAUGCCCCUUAUGACCUGGGCUACACACGUGCUACAAUGGAUGGUACAAAGGGCUGCAAACCUGCGAAGGUAAGCGAAUCCCAUAAAGCCAUUCUCAGUUCGGAUUGCAGGCUGCAACUCGCCUGCAUGAAGCCGGAAUCGCUAGUAAUCGCGGAUCAGCAUGCCGCGGUGA
rnacentral:rRNA from 1 species